UACAGAGGUCCCGAGCGUUGUUCGGAUUCACUGGGCGUAAAGGGUGCGUAGGUGGCGAGGUAAGUCGGAUGUGAAAGCUCGGAGCUCAACUCCGAAAUGGCAUUGGAAACUACCUUGCUCGAGGGUUGGAGGGGGGACUGGAAUGCUUGGUGUAGCAGUGAAAUGCGUAGAUAUCAAGCGGAACACCAGUGGCGAAGGCGACAUCCUGGACCGGUAUUGACGCUGAGGCGCGAAAGCGUGGGGAGCGAUCCGG
rnacentral:rRNA from 1 species